AGGCAGUGAGGAAAGUCCCUGUUAUCUCAAACAAGUUGGAUAGACCUGUACUACAGAGACCUGCUACCGUUCGUUACCUGCACUCACGGGUGCUGGUUGCCGGUUUGUGUGAUCUUGAUGAUGGAACUCAAAGGUAUUACUAUUGGAGGCUAAUUUUGUUGUCUGUUCUGUAGUCUCCACAGGAGAGAUUUAAAUGUUUUACAAGAGGGGAGGUUAUUUUACCAUGUACAGUGAGGAAAGAACGUAUUUGAUCCCCUGCUGAUUUUGUAAAUUUGCCCACUGACAAAGAAAUGAUCAGUCUAUAAUUUUAAUGGUAGGUUUAUUUGAACAGUGAGAGACAGAAUAACAACAAAACAAAUCCAGAAAAAUGCAUGUCAAAAAUGUUAUAAAUUGAUUUGCAUUUUAAUGAGGGAAAUAAGUAUUUGACCCCUCUGCAAAUCAUGACUUAGUACUUGGGGUCAAAACCCUUGUUGGCAAUGACAGAGGUCAGACGUUUCUUGUAGUUGGUCACCAGGUUUGCACACAUCUCAGGAGGGAUUUUGUCCUACUCCUCUUUGCAGAUCUUCUCCAAGUCAUUAAGGUUUCGAGGCUGACAUUUGGCAACUCGAACCUUCAGCUCCCUCCACAGAUUUUCUAUGGGAUUAAGGUCUUGAGACUGGCUAGGCCACUCCAGGACCUUAAUGUGCUUCUUCUUGAGCCACUCCUUUGUUGCCUUGGCCAUGUGUUUUGGGUCAUUGUCAUGCUGGAAUACCCAUCCACGACCCAUUUUUAAUGCCCUGGCUGAGGGAAGGAGGUUCUCACCCAAGAUUUGACGGUACAUGGCCCCAUCCAUCGUCCCUUUGAUGCGGUGAAGUUGUCCUGUCCCCUUAGCAGAAAAACACCCCCAAAGCAUAAUGUUUCUACCUCCAUGUUUGACGGUGGGGAUGGUGUUCUUGGGGUCAUAGGCAGCAUUCCUCCACCUCCAAACACGGCGAGUUGAGUUGAUGCCAAAGAGCUCCAUUUUGGUCUCAUCUGGCUAAAACACUUUCACCCAGUUGUCCUCUGAAUCAUUCAGAUGUUCAUUGGCAAACUUCAGACAGGCCUGUAUAUGUGCUUUCUUGAGCAGGGGAACCUUGCGGGCGCUGCAGGAUUUCAGUCCUUCAUGGCGUAGUGUGUUACCAAUUGUUUUCUUGGUGACUAUGGUCCCAGCUGCCUUGUGAUCAUUGACAAAAUCCUCCCGUUGUAACGGUUUUCUUGAGGUGAAAGAGAGGCGGACCAAAACGCAGCGUGGUGGUUAUUCAUGGUACUUUAAUUUAUAAAGACACUAUACAUGAAUAAACUAACAAAACAAUAAACGUGAGAACCUAAACAGCCUAUCUGGUGAAAACAGAGACAGGAACAAUCACCCACAAACACACAGUGAAACCCAGGCUACCUAAGUAUGAUUCUCAAUCAGAGACAACUAAUGACACCUGCCUCUGAUUGAGAACCAUACUAGGCCGAAACAUAGAAAUACCCAAAUCAUAGAAAAACAAACAGACUGCCCACCCCAACUCACGCCCUGACCAUACUAAAUAAUGACAAAACAAAGGAAAUAAAGGUCAGAACGUGACACCCGUGUAGUUCUGGGCUGAUUCCCCACCGUUCUCAUGAUCACAGCAACUUCUCUCUCCUACUGACUGAACUCAAGGACUCUGAUAGUGGGAGUUAUUCAUGUUUCCUACCAACCAAGGACAUUCUUCAUCAAGUGGAACUUUCUGUUCAAGGUUUGUAUUACAACCAAGUGUAACAGACAAUUCAUAGAGAAUGGUCAUGAUUCUGCCUUUGCUUAUCUAUACAGUAUUGGAAUUAGUCAACUUUUCAAUUAGAAAGUAGUUACUUUGACACCACAGUGUUAUUUAAAGGAAACAUAUUCACUUCCUCAAUACUCUUUAUUAAAGAGUGUUUAGAUCAUGUGGUUGCAUUGUGUGUUCAGUCAGAUGUCUGUUAGAAGGAGGAAGUCAGUUCAGUCUCAAAGAUUUAUCACAGCUCUGAGGAUGACGAGGAUUGUUGCCUGUCUGUUCUGUGUCUUAAAACUGUGUGUUGGAGCUGAGGCUUUGACAGAGACACUGGUAGAACUUGGACACAAUGCAACACUGAACUGUUCUCUUAAUAAUGUAACUGAUGCACAUUGGUACCUACAUCGCCAACCACAGCCUCCACUGGCCAUACUCCGCUCUUUCACUAGUAGGAGUCCUGUUGCUUUUUAUUACAAUAAGAAUUAUAGACAGAAAUAUUCAUUAGAAACAGGACAUAGAUUGUUAAUACAGAAUGUAACAGUAGAUGAUUGUGGAGUGUACUACUGUGCAAAGAAAGAAAACGAUAGUUUCCUUUUCAGUAACGGCACCAGACUCAUGACCCCUGUUGAUCCUGAAGCAACAGAGCAACCCAGAGACUUCACCACACCAUGGCUAAAGGGUCUUCUCAUUGGAUCCGGGGUCUUCAAUGCAGUGCUCAUUUUAUUGGUGUUAGCCAUUUCAGUGCUGUGGAAGAGAGCUGCUUGCAAGAAGAACCAUGACUCUCCUCCAACCCCUGAACCACCUGAAAGGACAGACAGUCUAGAGUAUGAAGUGAUACAGCUGGUACCCCAAGCGAGAGGACUAAGGCCCGACCACAAAGCCUCAACUAUUUACUCAAGGGUCCAGUUUCCAAAUCAUGAACUCACAACUACUACUUGAUAAGGUGCCAAAUCUUGACUUUGGUGGAUAAUGUGAACUAGAAAAUGACUUUGGUAGAUAAAGUGAAUCUACUCUGAAUAUUCAUAUGUUUGUGUAAUGUAUUUAGUGGUGCUCUUCGUCACUAUCGUCUAUAUACCAGUCAGCAAUAUCUUUGAAGGAAAUAUCUUUGAAGGAAAUUAUUACUUUUGUGUCUUGAUUCAUGUUUUUCAUUUUUCAUUGCUGGAAAUACGUUCAUAUUUGCCUUUCUUGAAAGUAAACUGUUACUUUUUUUGUGAAGCAGUUAGGAAGAGGUUUGUGUAUUUCUGUAGAAAAAGCCCCUAAGCCUUUUGUAGUGUAUUGAUGCUGCAUCAACCACACAUAUCCUGUUUGAGAGCUUAGACACAUGUCCCAAUUACUGUACAAUAAACCAUUUUGAUGACUUUUACAAGCUUUCAAUUAGUUCAUUAGAAAUCCUACUUCAUGUGCCCCAUAACACCUUUCUGAGAAGAAAGUAGUGUCACAACUUCUGCCGAGGUCGGUCCCUCUCCUUGUUCGGGUGGCAUUCGGCAGUUGACGUCACCAGUCUUCUAGCGAUCGUCGCUCCACCUUUCAUUUUCCAUUUCUUUUGUCUUGUUUACCUGGUUCACAUUCUCUCAUCAGAUUAAAUGUAUAUUACCAUCUGUUUCCCCCAUGUCUGUGUGUGGAAUUGUUCUUUGUGUUACGCUACAGGCUGGCUUGCGCUAGGUUUGUUUCAAACCUAGGUUUGUUUGUUUUGUUUAACCCGGUUCCUGUUCCCGUGGUUGUGCUUUGUGCUGCCUCGCCUGUGCCUUUGGGCCAGGGUGUAUAAUAAAGUUCUCCUGUUAUCACCCA